AACGUAGGAGGCGAGCGUUAUCCGGAUUUACUGGGCGUAAAGCGCGUGUAGGCGGUCUAGCAAGUUGGAUGUGAAAUCUCCCGGCUCAACCGGGAGAGGUCGUUCAAUACUGCUAGACUAGGGAGCGGUAGAGGGGGGUGGAAUUCCGGGUGUAGCGGUGAAAUGCGUAGAUAUCCGGAGGAACACCAGUGGCGAAGGCGGCCCCCUGGACCGUCUCUGACGCUCAGACGCGAAAGCUAGGGGAGCAAACGGG
rnacentral:rRNA from 1 species